AUUGAACGCUGGCGGCAUGCUUUACACAUGCAAGUCGAACGGUAACAGGCCGCAAGGUGCUGACGAGUGGCGAACGGGUGAGUAAUGCAUCGGAACGUGCCCAGUCGUGGGGGAUAACGCAGCGAAAGCUGCGCUAAUACCGCAUACGAUCUAUGGAUGAAAGCGGGGGACCGUAAGGCCUCGCGCGAUUGGAGCGGCCGAUGUCAGAUUAGGUAGUUGGUGGGGUAAAGGCUCACCAAGCCGACGAUCUGUAGCUGGUCUGAGAGGACGACCAGCCACACUGGGACUGGGACACGGCCCAGACUCCUACGGGAGGCAGCAGUGGGGAAUUUUGGACAAUGGGGGCAACCCUGAUCCAGCAAUGCCGCGUGCAGGAAGAAGGCCUUCGGGUUGUAAACUGCUUUUGUACGGAACGAAACGGCUCUGGUUAAUACCCGGGGCUAAUGACGGUACCGUAAGAAUAAGCACCGGCUAACUACGUGCCAGCCGCCGCUGUAAGAC
rnacentral:rRNA from 1 species